rnacentral:rRNA from 1 species
CCUACGGGUGACAGCAGUGAGGAAUAUUGGUCAAUGGACGAGAGUCUGAACCAGCCAAGCAGCGUGAAGGAUGACUGCCCUAUGGGUUGUAAACUUCUUUUAUAUGGGAAUAAAAUGUUCCACGUGUGGGAUUUUGUAUGUACCAUAUGAAUAAGGAUCGGCUAACUCCGUGCCAGCAGCCGCGGUAAUACGGAGGAUCCGAGCGUUAUCCGGAUUUAUUGGGUUUAAAGGGUGCGUAGAUGGGUUGUUAAGUCAGUUGUGAAAGUUUGCGGCUCAACCGUAAAAUUGCAAUUGAUACUGGCAGCCUUGAGUACAGUUGAGGUAGGCGGAAUUCGUGGUGUAGCGGUGAAAUGCUUAGAUAUCACGAAGAACUCCGAUUGCGAAGGCAGCCUACUAAACUGCAACUGACAUUGAUGCUCGAAAGUGUGGGUAGCAAACAGGAUUAGAUACCCUUGUAGUC